CAAUAUUUUUAUAUACAAUGAAAUAAAGAAUUUAAAUAAAAGAUUUAAUGAAACAAAGCAUGGCAAAAAAGAAUUCAACCACACCUUCAUUAAUAUGAGAAAUGAAGAUUGAUUAUGAAAAAUACAGUCCAGUAUAAACAAUUCUAUUAAGGACCAAGAUAAUAUGAUACCAAUGAGAGUUUCUGAUAUCCACCUUGGUCUCUCUAGAGAAAUGGAUAGCUAGCAAGUCUCUGAUGGUAGGCAGUUUGAGGUUGUAUUCUCUGCUGGGGUGUUCUAUGUGUUAUAUUGACAGUAUGAGGACUCAGUGCUUUGGGUGCCCACCUAAUACCCACAGUCCCUUUAGUAACAAGUAGCUCCUUGUAUAAACAUUUCCUGCUUUGUCAUAUGACCUUGCUGCUGAUACCACAGCCAGAGCGGGGACUGGGAUCCAUGAGUGAGUCAAAGUCCAUCUUCUAGGUGAAUAUUUCUUUCUUCUAGUUGCUCCAACUAGAUAAGUACUAAUUACUCAAAUUGCAUCUUUGCUCCUAGUGUAGUUGACCCGAAAAUAUAUAAAAAGAAGAGGAGGCCACAAAUGUGGCCUGAAGGGAGGAGAAUUUGAAAGAAGACAAGGAGAAGCCAUGGGGAAAAAAGAAAGAGAGCAAAACCGAGAAAGUAGUAAAGGGCUGAAUCAGCCUGCUGCAGACAGGCAGGUCUGUGCACACCCUACCAAGGUCCCCAGUGGUGUGGAAGAUGCCGAAUCACCCCGCUGCAGAGAGGCAGCCACCUGGUUCCACACUACAAAGACGCAGAG
rnacentral:lncRNA from 1 species